rnacentral:rRNA from 1 species
GCAGGCCUAACACAUGCAAGUCGAGCGGUAGAGAGGUGCUUGCACCUCUUGAGAGCGGCGGACGGGUGAGUAAUGCCUAGGAAUCUGCCUGGUAGUGGGGGAUAACGCUCGGAAACGGACGCUAAUACCGCAUACGUCCUACGGGAGAAAGCAGGGGACCUUCGGGCCUUGCGCUAUCAGAUGAGCCUAGGUCGGAUUAGCUAGUUGGUGGGGUAAUGGCUCACCAAGGCGACGAUCCGUAACUGGUCUGAGAGGAUGAUCAGUCACACUGGAACUGAGACACGGUCCAGACUCCUACGGGAGGCAGCAGUGGGGAAUAUUGGACAAUGGGCGAAAGCCUGAUCCAGCCAUGCCGCGUGUGUGAAGAAGGUCUUCGGAUUGUAAAGCACUUUAAGUUGGGAGGAAGGGCAUUAACCUAAUACGUUAGUGUUUUGACGUUACCGACAGAAUAAGCACCGGCUAACUCUG